CCUACCAGCUGCCAAAUGUCAGCUCUGUCGUGUGAUUCAAAAACUGAGAACUGAAAACAGACCCGUGAUCCGUCACUUCAACGUCACGAUGAAAACGUACUCGUGUCAAAGUCGAGAGGAGACGAUCUCCAACAACCUCAUCGUGGUUUCGAAGUUCCUGCUGGAGAGCCGUGAAGAACUCCAUGAACUGGUCCAUAUGCCCCAACGAGUUACAAUAUGGAGUCUCUUUUACCUUUUUGUUAUUUAUUUGAGCAGACACCAUCUCUCCUGCAGUUUGAGGUUGAGUCAGCUGGUUCCUCACUUCCUGUCAUCCGCAGACGUCCUGCUCCAGCUGCAGCUCACUGCGGUUUUCUCUCAUCUUUCCAUAAGUCUGGAGAAGAGUCCAGAAGUCACAUGAUCAGGAAACAGGAAGUAAAACUUAAAAAUCUUGCACCUGUAACAGAAGCUCCUCUGGCUCUGGUAUCAGUGACGGUGGCUUGAGUUUCCCGUGAACAACCGAUUGUGAACUUUUGUUGUUCAGUGAAGAAUGGAAAUGGCCGACCCUCCCAGGAUGUUACUGCGUUCAUGUGUGGACAGAGUGUUAGCGGUGAAAGGUGACCACGAUCAGGGAGUUCAAGGGAACAGACUGGCGUCCGUUAUCUCGUCUUCAGUGACAGGACGGAGCUUUUCUCUCUUUCUUUCUGAUUCUGAACACUCUCGUAUAAAUGCCUUUAAACUGAACUUUACUUUUCUCACUUCCUGUUGACCAGGCACUGAACUCUGUUUAGAGGAGCCAUGUUUUAUUUGACCUUCCUUCUCUUCAGUGACAUCAAACAGCCACAAGGGUUUUGACCAUUUUGCACAUUUGAACCUGAGGUUGAUGUUUUUUACGUAGAGUAGAAAUCUUUGUUUUUAACACUGGACCAUGUUACACAGGAUUCUUCCCCAUACUGACGUCAUCCACCUGGGUAAUCAGAUUACUAUCAGUCUGAACACAUGACAGAUUGUCAGUGAGCCUCAUGUAGGAACCGUUCAUACAAACAGGUUUGUUGUUUAACGGUGCGUUUGAGUCAUUUAGGAGAAGUUGCAUCAUUCACCAAUUUUCUUGCAUUUUGUGUUUUCCUACAGUUAUGAACAGAAUUUGAGUUUUCCAGACUGGAGUAUGGACGCCCAACGAUUCUGGUCGGGUCACCGUGUCGAGGACCUGUACUUGAUUUUCUUUUUACACUACACGUGUCUCUGAUCAGGUUACUGACAUGACUUCUCCACCAGAGUCCUGCUGCUUCAUCGUUUGUAGAUCCAGGAUCACAGCUGCAGCCACAUGGUGGAUCACAGACUGUGAUCAUGGACCAUAGAUCCUGAUGGUGUCAGCUGAUCCUGGACCAUGAUCACAACCAAACUUCUUGAUACACAACAUGUCUCCUCAUCUUCUACCAUCAGUAACUCCUCAGUUCAUGUGUGUGCUCCUUCAUCUCUAUCAGACAUGUUCUCAUGUAGAAAUGUUUAACUCUGUCCGUCCUGGGAGAGGGAUCCCUCACGUGUGACUCUCUCAGGUUUCUACAGUGCGGGUUCAUCAAAUGGAGGUAAAACCCAUUUAACGGCUUCACCACGCUGUCUUGACAGAUCAGUGAGUUCACCCGGGCACCAUGUCUGAUUGGAGCCGAUAGUAACCUGCAGAGUCAUUUCACCCGAGAGUGAAUGACCUUUGAAUCCAUUCAGCAAAAAGACGGAUGUUCGAGGGUGUUGGUGGUUUUUGACCUCGAGCAGCAGCAGCAGCAGCGUUCUGAACGUGUGCUGUGAACACACCAUCACAACGUGGGAUCGACAGAAGAUAAAAAUGUGGACAAGUUUGUUCAGGUCCUGCUGAGACAGGAACGUGAAGCAGCUGCUGAGUUUCUGGAAGUUUCUCUGAUUAAAACAAAGUAAACAUAAGAACGCUCCUGAUCCUGAUGGUGUUUAGAAUCCUGAUCGCUCAGGGGGAAGAAACUUUAAGUGGGUUUGACUUUUCACGACUGCUCGGGGGAAGGGUGGAAGAGAUCUGUCUUUAUGUCAACGACCUUCCUCACUUCUCUUCUGCUCCUGCACUGUAAAAAACAAUGUUAAAUUGGAGUCAUGGUUUCAUGUUGACUGAUGAAACGUUGUGAUCCUACAGUGAGUCAUGUGACACAGACCUGUCACAGGAAAUCCCCCUUCUCUCUUCUGUUUGAUCUCCUUUCAGAUUCAUGGAGAGUUGAUCCAUGAAAAAUGUUUGUGGCACUUUUGUCUUUAAUAGUGAAGGAAAAUGUUGGAUUUGACUCAACGAGCAGCUUCAAUAAAACAGAUGAAACAU